AUCGCUUCUUGGCCUUUUGGCUAAGAUCAAGUGUAGUAUCUUAGAGCUGUCGAGAUUGUAAAAAACAAGGAAAGAAUGAGAAACUGUC
rnacentral:snRNA from 2 species